GUCCUCGUGGCCGAGCGGAGAGGCGCCGGUCUCCUAAGCCGGUGGAACGCAGGUUCGACUCCUGCCGGGGACA
rnacentral:tRNA from 1 species